GGAAGGGAUGAGCUCAGAGGUGACAUUUAGGAUCAAAGUGGGGAUAGCUGAGCAUUACAGGAAGGAAGACAAUGGUGUUGUCAGAGCAGAAAGUUGGGAAAUCUGUGGCAAUAUGAAUGAGAAAGAAGGAAUGCAGAAAAACACAUCAGCAUGACAACUGGGGAUGCUGGAGAGGUUGCUAAGGGCAUUCUCAGGGUUUGGGGAGAAAGGAAUAGAAGUUCAAGGCAGCAGCUCUGAGCAUGAACCUGUCUGCUGUCUGAAACUGUUGUGGAGGUAAUACCAAUGCUCUCCUACGAGGGCUUGGGUGGAUCUCACCUUAGGUGAGAAUGGAGAAGGCUGCAGGGACGGGUGACAAAUAUGGGUCCUGGCUGGGAGGGCAGCUCCUGCCAUGGUGCUGCCUGAAAAAGCAGGCUCAGCUGUGGUCCAUCAGCUGGUCCAGAGGAGCUCUGAACGAAGCAGAGUGAGCAGAUAACAGAGGAGAAUAUGUUGUCUGGGAGAAGCAACCAAAGAGUGGACAGAAGAUUCAAGAGUGGGUGGAGUUGGAGGCUGCAUAGAAUACACAGCUUCAGAAGUGCUGAACAGGACUCAGAGAUCACAGAAAGCUGAGGAAGUGGACGUGGCCCAGAGGAGCUCCCCUGCCCAAGCAGAGUAGGUAGAGCUGAUCACUCAGGACACGAUCCUGUUGUUCUUUGGGUAUCUGCAAGGAUGGAGACUUCUCAGCCUCUGUGGGCAACCCGUUCCAGUGCUCUACUAUCCCCAUAGUAAAAAAUAAUAAUAAUAAUAAAAAUUUCUCUCAUGUCGAAACAGAAUUCUCCCUAUUUUAAUGUAUGCCUUAAUUUGGGGCACAGACUGUGGGCAAUAUUGCUGAUUCCAGGGAUAUUAAAUUAAAGCCAGAAACAAGCAGUCACAGCCCCAAACAACAUGCGUAAACGCUUUGCUGGCAGGGGAUGCACUGAACAAACACCACCUUCAGCAACAAGGUUAUUCCGUCACGUCGGAGUUUGCUUUCCUUGUGAUUCCCCUCUCUGGGCUUGCAGAAGGGUGGAUGAACUCAUUGCUCUGGGGCAAUACCCCAACAAUUGCUGAGCAUUACAGUGUCACUGAUUGGUGCAGUCUCAUUGAUUGCUGUGUGUGUCUUGACCACGCUCCUGGCCCGUCACCAGCAGCACAGGGACAGAGCCCACUGCGUCACACCUCAGCAGCAGUGACGGUGGGGACAAGCACUCUGCUUUCAUAACACCGUGCUCCUUCCACUGUUUCCUCACCCCUGGACUGCGCACGGUGUAUACAUGGCAGAAAUAAGCAGAUGGUGCAGCUGAGCUGUCCUUGUAAAGAGGUGUCUGUUCAAGGAACUUUUGGCCUCCCAAGGAAGCAUCUGUUCUCUGAAGUCUCAGGGGACUGACAUCCACAGUCAUGAUGGACACCGUGACUGCUGCAGAACAAAGCCCUGCAAGGUGUUGUCCUGCUGAUGGUGGUCAGGCCACACUGUGGAGAUACAUUUGCCUCCAUUUACAGGCCCACAGCUCUUGCUCCUGGGUAAGCAAAUGUCCUGGACAUUUUUACUCAGUUUGAUAGCGAUAGGACAAGGGGGAAUGGUUUAAAACUCCAAGAGGGGAGAUUUAGGUGAGAUGGGAGGAGGAAAUUCUUUACCCAGGGCUGGCCAGAAGGCAAAAGGUCUGCGCAGACAGUUGGAAAAGACUGGAAAGCUUUCCAUGUCUCCAGCUCUGGUAUUCAGGCUGCUUUCAAUUUUGUCUUCAGGUUUUUCUGCUUAACCACUAGGGCAAGCAACCCAUUUGUACGUAAUUUUGUGAAUGACAGCUAAUAUCCCCACAUAACCCUUGGACUCCAAAAGCUGCAGCUGUAAAAGAAAUGCCAAGAAGGCUUCAAGUCUGAGGAAUUAACUUCCCUUCAUGUGCAAAGAACAGGUCAGAAAACCCUCUUACAGCACAGGGACACGUGGUGGGUUUUAGUGAGCUGGAGUUAAGCUCAACCAAUCAGCCCCAAUGGAGCUAUCUGUCACAGGGCUGUUCGCACAGCCUCUCCUGCACUGUUUGGUAAUUUGGUGUGCCCCUAUGGCUGGAAGCAAUCCGUUUGACCUCUGGCUCCAACUCUGCCAGUCUUGGAGCUCACCUCUUCCUUUGGCCAGGAGGGAUGUGGUUGCCAUGGGAGCUAAAUCCACAGCGGGACUUCUGUGAUGUUACACUGCUGUACGCAUGCGCUCUCUGCCAGCUGCUCCAUGGCAGGUCAGUGGGUGCCCCACAGGAGGUGUGAAGCCAAAGCAUCACAUUGCUGAAGAACUGCAGCAGGAUGGGAGGGAGCAUCUGUGCCAUGGAAGAGCCUCGUGGUUAGGACAUGGCUUUGAAUCCUCUCAAGGGGAGGGAACCCAAUGUGGGUCCCUCACAUCCUGAAAGUGCUCUGUGGCUGCUGUGCUCUGGGUUAAGCUGCUGGGCUCUACUCCUCUCAGCAGUCACCCUUCCUGGUGGAAUGCUUCCAAGGCACAAAGCAGAGGAACAGUUGGAUCUGUGCACUGAACACUUCCUGAGCAAGGCUGAGACCCCAGGGCUGGGUGGUAUAGACAGGAGAGCUAAGAGGGAUGGCACCAGAGGAGUCUGAGUUCAAAUCCAAUGGGGUUUCAAUUCCAGCAGGAUUAGGAGACAGCUGCCUCCAGUUAAGGAGUUUCAAGGAACAUGAUUUUGGACUAAAGUUCUUAACUUUUCUCACUUCGAUUACAUCUGGCAACUUGGAAAUACUACCAUUCUUAUUCCACAUAAAAGUGAAUCAGCAAGAAAGUGUUGGAACUUAUCUCUGAGAUUUUAUUUUAUUUUUUCCAUUUGUAGUGCUCCUAAAAUUCAUGGGACCCCAGAGAGGACACUUUUCCAUGUCUGUUUAUUUUUCUCCAGUAAUGCACCACUGAGAAAUGUUGUUAUGUGUGUUUUGACAGUGCAGAUCCUCCUUCACAUUACCACCGUGGUUGUGUGCAGAGGUGCUGAGCAGAUUCUGAUCCCAUGGAUGAUGCUGGAAGUACCAAUUGGUGGAAAUCAUUCCACACCAAAAGCAAGCAUGUUCAUGAGAGUAUGGGCUACUAAAUCUAUCUUCCUUCCUUCCUUCCCUCCUUCCCUCCUUCCCUCCUUCCUUCCUUCCUUCCUUCCUUCCUUCCUUCCUUCCUUCCUUCCUUCCUUCCUUCCUUCCUUCCUUCCUUCCUUCCUUCCUU
ensembl:lncRNA